GGCUACCUGGUUGAUCCUGCCAGUAGCAUAUGCUUGUCUCAAAGAUUAAGCCAUGCAAGUCUAAGUAGACAUGGCCGGAGAUCGGAAGAGCAAAU